rnacentral:lncRNA from 1 species
GGCGAAGGAGGAUCUGGUAAUUUCGUUAAAAUGGUUCAUAAUGGAAUCGAAUACGGUGAUAUGCAGUUGAUUUCUGAAGCUUAUGACGUGCUUAAACAUGUUGGGGGACUUUCGAAUGAUGAAUUAGCUGAGAUUUUUGCUGAAUGGAAUCGGGGUGAGCUUGAAAGUUUCUUAAUUGAGAUAACAUCGGAUAUUUUUAGAGUUAAGGAUGAUUUGAGUGAUGGGUUUUUGGUGGAUAAGAUUUUAGACAAGACUGGGAUGAAAGGUACCGGGAAAUGGACUGUGCAGCAAGCUGCUGAGUUGUCUAUUGCUGCCCCUACGAUCGCAGCUUCAUUGGAUUGUAGGUAUUUGAGUGGGUUAAAGGAGGAGAGGGAAAAUGCUGCUGAGGUUUUGAAAGAAGCUGGAUUGAAAGAAGAAGUUGGGAGCCUAGCAAAUGGAAUUGAUAAGAAAAGAUUGAUUGAUGAUGUUAGGCAAGCUUUAUAUGCGUCCAAGAUAUGCAGUUAUGCUCAAGGGAUGAAUUUGUUGAGAGCGAAAAGUGUUGAAAAAGGGUGGAAUUUGAACUUUGGAGAGUUGGCUAGGAUUUGGAAAGGUGGGUGUAUUAUUAGGGCUGUGUUUUUGGAUAGGAUCAAGAAGGCUUACCAG